rnacentral:rRNA from 1 species
GAUGAACGCUGGCGGCGUGCCUAAUACAUGCAAGUCGAGCGAACAGACGAGGCGCUUGCUCCUCUGACGUUAGCGGCGGGCGGGUGAGUAACACGUGUAUACCCUACCUAUAAGACUGAGAUCACUUCGGGAAACCGGAGCUAACACCGGAUAAUAUAUUGAACCGCAUGGUUCAUUGGAGAAAGACGGUUUUGCUGUCACUAAUAGAUGGUUCCGGGCCGGAUUAGCUAGUUGGUAAGGUAACGGCUUACCAAGGCAACGAUGCGUAGCCGACCUGAGAGGGUGAUCGGCCACACUGGAACUGAGACACGGUCCAGACUCCUACGGGAGGCAGCAGUAGGGAAUCUUCCGCAAUGGGCGAAAGCCUGACGGAGCAACGCCGCGUGAGUGAUGAAGGUCUUCGGAUCGUAAAACUCUGUUAUUAGGGAAGAACAAAUGUGUAAGUAACUAUGCACGUCUUGACGGUACCUAAUCAGAAAGCAACGGCUAACUACGUG